rnacentral:rRNA from 1 species
GAUGAACGCUGGCGGCGUGCCUAAUACAUGCAAGUCGAGCGAACAGAUGAGGAGCUUGCUCCUCUGACGUUAGCGGCGGACGGGUGAGUAACACGUGGAUAACCUACCUAUAAGACUGGGAUAACUUCGGGAAACCGGAGCUAAUACCGGAUAAUAUAUUGAACCGCAUGGUUCAAUAGUGAAAGACGGUUUUGCUGUCACUUAUAGAUGGAUCCGCGCCGCAUUAGCUAGUUGGUAAGGUAACGGCUUACCAAGGCAACGAUGCGUAGCCGACCUGAGAGGGGGAUCGGCCACACGGGAACUGAGACACGGUCAAGACUCCUACGGGAGGCAGCAGUAGGGAAUCGUCCGCAAUGGGCGAAAGCCUGACGGAGCAACGCCGCGUGAGUGAUGAAGGUCUUCGGAUCGUAAAACUCUGUUAUUAGGGAAGAACAAAUGUGUAAGUAACUAUGCACGUCUUGACGGUUCCUAAUCAGAAAGCCACGGCUAACUACGUG